GGGCUGAUCGUCCAACGGGAAGACACCGCCCUGGCGUGGCGGGAAUCCGGGUUCGAUUCCCGGUCGGUCCAC
rnacentral:tRNA from 1 species